ensembl:lncRNA
UUUUGCGAUUGAUAGAUUUUCAUCAGUUUGUGAUAAAAUCAUGAGAUAGCUAGUAAGUUCUAGACCUCAUCUUUUUGUUUUUUUGUUUUUUUGUUUGCUUUGCAGAGGUGAGGCUGUGUGGAGGUGUCCACAGGUGAGUAUCGGUUUGGUGCCUGCUGAGAACAGAGAUAGGCUUUAAAGUGGUGAAAAUGGAUAACAUGUUUUUGUCCCUUGCAGUGGUGGACCCGGGAGCCAGCCUCCUUCCUCGGCUCAGCUGUGCGACUUGGCCAUCUCUAAUUAUGCCUGCUCUCCGGUAAGUCUUCCAUGAACGGUGCACCUGAAUGCCUGUCCUUGCAAAUACUCCCAUUUCUCUGACUGCACAAAUCUGCCCACUUCUUUCAAGGUUGCAUCCUCCCUGUCCUCUGACGCCCUCGUCACACUGCUGACUUGCAAGGUGCCGAGCAGCGUGAACAGCAGCGCAGAGACGUGGAAGCUUUUCUUCCAGAAAGUCGCGGGAGUUCUGGAGGUUGCUCUGUCAGCGUACUCCAACAACGUGAGUGACACCCCUGCUUUCUGGAACAGGAGAUGGAGUGCUGUCUCUGGGCUCUACAUUGAGAUAUGUCCCUUUGCUUUCACAGACCCUCGGUGGCCAUCAGCCUGAGUCCCGUGUUCUCGAUGCCAUUGGAGAGGUGAAAGUCAACAACUUCAGCGCCGCACAACUGGCAGAUGUCAGCUUCAUUACCGACUGGUUCCAGGGAAGGCUGAGACCAUUCUUGCCUGCAGUCUCCAGGGACUUCCUGUCCUGCCUUAGCUCCAAGAACUUCAGUUGCGACACCUACCAAGUUGUGGUGCAGGCUCUAAGUCGUCAAGCGUCCCUCAUGGAGGUGGGGCAACAACGGGUCGUCUUCACUGAAUUUGUCAAUCCCUUCCUCUCGAGAGACGACCUACCAGGUACUUUAAGCCCUAUCAAUGUCUUGAGUUGCCACCCGUCAUGCUGUAGUUCCUUAGGCAUCCUUCAGCGUCUCGGCUUGUCACGGGUGUUUCGCCAGUUCAAAGGUGUUCUGUUUAAUUCCCCCGAUGUUCAAUCCAGAUCCUGCCUGUCUUGCCAAUACUACGAGCAGCGCUGACUGGCUGGAGAAGAACUUUGGCAACUUCUCCGUCUACGCUACCUUGGAGGACUUGCAAAGGCUGAAUGAAAAUUUCUCCAGCGUGAGUAGCCUUUGGCUUGCUCCAGUUGCCCAUGUGAAUUGUCAUUAUUUUAGGAAUGUAUUUUUGAUCUGAAGUAAACGGCCUCACCUGUGAUGUAUCAUCUGCUGUCCAUGUUGUGCUUCAGUUUGCAUCCUUGGCGCUGCUGAGCCCUAGCCAAGUAGCUGAGCUGACACUGAGCUCCGGAGCGCUGAACAACACCCAUCAGAUCGACGCUGUGUUCGACCGCCUGGAGAAUGGCAACGCUUUCAAGAACGUGGAGGAGUUUCUGACGGCUCUAACCGCAUCUCCUGAGGCAAGUCAAUGAAUCAAAGCGUUUGACAGAGGUCGCGUGGAAGCCAUGAAGACUAGCCCAAAGAACGCUACUUUCACGCUGUGCCAUUCACACUCCCGGUGUUUUAUCCCUGCAGAUUCCCGAUAUCACCCCCGCUGUGAGAGACGUGAUGAUGAACCGAACCUUCGGGAUCAUUGAACUGAAGCUCCCGGGAUUUGUGGCUCAUGACUGGGAAGUGUGGUUCACCGAGAAGCUCAUCCCUGUCCUCCCCAGUUUCACCGCAGGAAUGCUGCUUAAGGUCACAGCUGACAUCAACUGCACCAACUACCAUGUGAUGUGAGUGCCUGAAUGUGGAGAAAGGAAGCUUGUCGAUCUGCAUCGACACGCCCACCUUAACACCCUUCUGUUCCUUUCUGUCGCAGCGUUGAGGGAAUGGGAGAUGUUUUUCGACAAAAAUGACAUUCACCAGGAGGCAGGAGAUGACCAGGGUUCUGGUGGAGCACCUGAAGCAAUUUGCCGUCCCAUACAACAGUCCAGGUAGGCCUUCCAGGGCGUGCUUUCCCGGCACCUCUCUGUUGCCGGGUGGCAUGCGUUGCUGGUUUUGUUUAAGCUGACAGGUCAGGGUUUUUGUGUGUCGGCUUCAUAGCAGCGCACCGACGCAGGCUGAUCUUCUUCCACCCCUAUUUUGAAAAACAGAUUGCAGAAAGGACAUCGGAAACGAUGCUGAGUGGCUUGACAUCAACUUGGGUCUAUUCUCCACGGUGGCCAAUUACUCAGACCUCAAGGAGCUGAACAUCAGUGGGGUAAAUCACCUAUUUUUUUAUUAUGUUUCUCUUCUCACACAGCUUUAAGGGAGUUCUUGGCUGGUAGUGAUUUUUUUGGUUGUUUAUUUGUUUUCUUUUUGUUUUUUUUUUUCUUCAUGUCUUUGGGAAGAGAGCAAAUCACCAACCGUCAUGCGUUAUUUACUUUGUGUCUGGGUUUUGUUCACCUUAGCUGGCAGCUUUGGAAUCCCUGUCACCUGACCAGAAAGCAGAGCUGCUGUUGGAUCCGUCCACCGGUGCUCUUGAAAAUGUGACCGUGGUGAAGGAGGUGUUGAGCAGCAUCCUAAAAGCCCCAGAUGAGGAGCAGCUAGAGAAAUUCUUUUGAAACGUUUGUGGAGGUCAGCAAGGAGGUGAGUCUUUUUUUACAAUUUAUUCUUGUUUUGUUUUUGUUUUUCUCAGUGCAAUUUAUCUAUAAUUGCUUAGACCAAGAAUGUGCUGCUUGUGGGCAAGGAGGCCGUGCUAGAAGGUCCUGUCGUGGUGCUAAAUGUAUCUCUUCCCCCACCCUCCCCUCUCAGGAAAACAUCACCUACAUCACAAACGCGGAAGUCCGGGACGCAAUACUGAACCUGACUUUGACGGCUCUGGCUCCCAAAUUCCCUCUCUUCCAAAACCAGUGACUAUGAGCUGUGGUUCCAAAUUAAUCUCGUGGUCCUGCUGGCCAGCUUCAGUCCUUCAGUUUUGGUGGUGAUCCCCGCCAACCUCACCUGCGACUCUUACGACGCAAUGUAAACAAUCUGGCUCCCUUGGUUUCUUGUCUUAAUUCAGUGAAUAGAAGUAAAUGUUGAGAUUUUCCAUUUUUUUGCACGGUUUCCACAGAUUGAAAGGCAUGGAGAGCGCUUUGGCGGUUCUCCCAACUGGAGUUGGAGUGGAGCUGAAGUCAAGCAUAGACAAACUUCGACAGUCACCACCAGAAGGUAUGGCCUGAGCAGCUCCCUUCAAAUACGUAAAGAUCGCAGUGUUGUUCUUUGGUAAACCAAAAGAGUCCUUACCAAAUGCAGGUGAAUGUAAGCAAUUUGCAAGUGGCCUCCCAUUGACAGAAAUCUUGUUUGUCUUGGUUUUUCCUCAGGCUGCACGCCCCCUCGCCCUGUGGGUUUCGUAAGUACUUCAUUGUCGUACAUGGGUUAUGGGUAAAGUUCAAGCCCAUUAGAAGCUGUACAUAAUGGUUUUCUUAUAUUUUCUUGCUUUGUCUUCCUUCUCGCCAGUGCAAAGAGACAAUAGUGGAUGGUGAGUCAGAACACAGGAUGCUAGUUUUGCGAUUGAUAGAUUUUUCAUCAGUUUGUGAUAAAAAUCAUGAGAUAGCUAGUAAGUUCUAGACCUCAUCUUUUUGUUUUUUUGUUUUUUUGUUUGCUUUGCAGAGGUGAGGCUGUGUGGAGGUGUCCACAGGUGAGUAUCGGUUUGGUGCCUGCUGAGAACAGAGAUAGGCUUUAAAGUGGUGAAAAUGGAUAACAUGUUUUUGUCCCUUGCAGUGGUGGACCCGGGAGCCAGCCUCCUUCCUCGGCUCAGCUGUGCGACUUGGCCAUCUCUAAUUAUGCCUGCUCUCCGGUAAGUCUUCCAUGAACGGUGCACCUGAAUGCCUGUCCUUGCAAAUACUCCCAUUUCUCUGACUGCACAAAUCUGCCCACUUCUUUCAAGGUUGCAUCCUCCCUGUCCUCUGACGCCCUCGUCACACUGCUGACUUGCAAGGUGCCGAGCAGCGUGAACAGCAGCGCAGAGACGUGGAAGCUUUUUCUUCCAGAAAGUCGCGGGAGUUCUGGAGGUUGCUCUGUCAGCGUACUCCAACAACGUGAGUGACACCCCUGCUUUCUGGAACAGGAGAUGGAGUGCUGUCUCUGGGCUCUACAUUGAGAUAUGUCCCUUUGCUUUCACAGACCCUCGGUGGCCAUCAGCCUGAGUCCCGUGUUCUCGAUGCCAUUGGAGAGGUGAAAGUCAACAACUUCAGCGCCGCACAACUGGCAGAUGUCAGCUUCAUUACCGACUGGUUCCAGGGAAGGCUGAGACCAUUCUUGCCUGCAGUCUCCAGGGACUUCCUGUCCUGCCUUAGCUCCAAGAACUUCAGUUGCGACACCUACCAAGUUGUGUAAGUAUCUUCAGUGCUCUGUAAAUCCCGAAGUGGUAGUCAGGGGAGUGGAGUUGAGCAAUCCGUAACGACCGACGAUCUCUCCCGAAAUAGGGUGCAGGCUC